rnacentral:rRNA from 1 species
GAUGAACGCUGGCGGCGUGCCUAAUACAUGCAAGUCGAGCGAACGGACGAGAAGCUUGCUUUUCUGAUGUUAGCGGCGGACGGGUGAGUAACACGUGGAUAACCUACCUAUAAGACUGGGAUAACUUCGGGAAACCGGAGCUAAUACCGGAUAAUAUUUUGAACCGCAUGGUUCAAAAGUGAAAGACGGUCUUGCUGUCACUUAUAGAUGGAUCCGCGCUGCAUUAGCUAGUUGGUAAGGUAACGGCUUACCAAGGCAACGAUGCAUAGCCGACCUGAGAGGAUGAUCGGCCACACUGGAACUGAGACACGGUCCAGACUCCUACGGGAGGCAGCAGUAGGGAAUAUUCCGCAAUGGGCGAAAGCCUGACGGAGCAACGCCGCGUGAGUGAUGAAGGUCUUCGGAUCGUAAAGCUCUGUUAGUAGGGAAGAACAGAUGUGUGAGUAACUGUGCACAUCUUGACGGUACCUAAUCAGAAAGCCACGGCUAACUACGUG